GAUGAACGCUGGCGGCGUGCCUAAUACAUGCAAGUCGAGCGAACGGACGAGAAGCUUGCUUCUCUGAUGUUAGCGGCGGACGGGUGAGUAACACGUGGAUAACCUACCUAUAAGACUGGGAUAAUUUCGGGAAACCGGAGCUAAAACCGGAUAAUAUUUUGAACCGCAUGGUUCAAAAGUGAAAGACGGUCUUGCUGUCACUUAUAGAUGGAUCCGCGCUGCAUUAGCUAGUUGGUAAGGUAACGGCUUACCAAGGCAACGAUGCAUAGCCGACCUGAGAGGGUGUUCGCCAACACUGAAACUGGACCACGGUCCGAACUCCUACGGAGGCAGCAGUAGGGAAUCUUCCGCAAUGGGCGAAAGCCUGACGGAGCAACGCCGCGUGAGUGAUGAAGGUCUUCGGAUCGUAAAACUCUGUUAUUAGGGAAGAACAUAUGUGUAAGUAACUGUGCACAUCUUGACGGUACCUAAUCAGAAAGCCACGGCUAACUACGUG
rnacentral:rRNA from 1 species